AUGGAUGUGCUUCUAUAUGCAUGGACUGGUCCUAAAACUCAUGCUGCCAAGGCAACGAUUAUCUCAGUUGACCCAGACACUAUUGUGGGCGGAGAGCCCCUUGGACCAGCAACUUAUGAGGUUCUUGUCAAUGUUGCUAUCAGAAGGGACGCCACCGUGCCUUAUGAAUACGAUGGUUUACAAAUUAUCAUUGAUGCUGUCACAAGGACCAUUGCGUGGCCAUCUAGCAAGAUGAAACCCUACAAACCAGGGGCAUCUUCCUCAUCCCGCCGCUAA
rnacentral:rRNA from 1 species